GGCUCAGGACGAACGCUGGCGGCGUGCUUCAUACAUGCAAGUCGAACGAGAAGCUGACUUCGGUCAGUGGAAAGUGGCGGACGGGUGAGUAAUAUGUAGAGAAUCUGCCCUUGAGUGGGGGACAACAGAGGGAAACUUCUGCUAAUACCCCAUAUGAGCUAACUUGAAAUAGUUAUCCUGAAAACUCCGGUGCUCAAGGAUGAGUCUGCAUCUGAUUAGCUAGUUGGCGGUGUAAUGGACCACCAAGACGACGAUCAGUAGCUGGUUUGAGAGGAUGAUCAGCCACAAUGGGACUGAGACACGGCCCAUACUCCUACGGGAGGCAGCAGUAGGGAAUUUUGCGCAAUGGGGCCGAAAGCCUGACGCAGCAACGCCGCGUGAACGAUUAAGCCCUUCGGGGUGUAAAGUUCUGUCAGUAGGGACGAAUUUUGACGGUACCUACAGAGGAAGCACCGGCUAACUCCGUGCCAGCCGCCGC
rnacentral:rRNA from 1 species